AGAGUUUGAUCCUGGCUCAGGACGAACGCUGGCGGCGUGCUUAACACAUGCAAGUCGAGCGAAAGGCCCCUUCGGGGGUACUCGAGCGGCGAACGGGUGAGUAACACGUGGGUAAUCUGCCUGGACACAGGAAUAACCAGUGGAAACGCUGGCUAAUGCCUGAUGACGUGCCGGCCUUUCGGGCUGUCACCAAAGGUAGCUUCGGCCUCCGGUCCGGGAUGAGCCCGCGGCCCAUUAGCUGUUGGCGGGGUAACGGCCCACCAAGGCGACGAUGGGUAGCUGGUCUGAGAGGACGAUCAGCACACUGGGACUGAGACACGGCCCAGACUCCUACGGGAGGCAGCAGUGGGGAAUCUUGCGAAUGGGCGGAAGCCUGACGCAGCAACGCCGCGUGCGGGAAGAAGGCCUUCGGGUUGUAAACGCUUUCAGCAGGGACGAAGGCGAGCGGGUUAAUAGCCCGUCAGUUGACUGUACCUGCAGAGAAGGUCCGGCUAACUACGUGCCAGCAGCCGCGGUAAUACGUAGGGACCGAGCGUUGUCGGAAUCAUUGGGCGUAAAGAGCGUGUAGGCGGCCCCUUAAGUCCUGCGUGAAAUCCUGCGCUCAACCGCAGACGGUCGUGGGGAAACUGGAGGGCUAGAGUGCGGGAGAGGAGAGUGGAAUCCCGGGUGUAUCGGUGAAAUG
rnacentral:rRNA from 1 species